UGCACUUUUUGGUAAGAAGAUGUUAAUAAAAGUUGUUCGUCUUUAUGAGGGCUACAACUUUGCUUAAUAUCCUUUUAACAAAUUAUGCGUAUUUAAGGAGAUAGCGCAGCGCAUGCGCAGAACGUAUCUCCUUACCUUUGCACUUUUUGGUAAGAAGAUGUUAACAAAAGUUGUUCGUCAUGAUGAGGGCUACAACUUUGCUUAAUAUCCUUUUAACAAAUGAUGCG
rnacentral:miRNA from 1 species